rnacentral:rRNA from 1 species
UACGUAGGCAGCAAGCGUUGUUCGGAGUUACUGGGCGUAAAGGGUGGGUAGGUGGCUCUAUAAGUAUGGUGUGAAAUCUCCCGGCUUAACUGGGAGGGUGCGCCGUAGACUGUGGGGCUAGAGUGUGGGAGAGGAAAGUGGAAUUCCUGGUGUAGCGGUGAAAUGCGUAGAUAUCAGGAGGAACACCGGUGGUGUAAACGGCUUUCUGGACCAUAACUGACACUGAGGCACGAAAGCGUGGGUAGCAAGCAGG